GACGAACGCUGGCGGCAUGCCUAACACAUGCAAGUCGAGGGGCAGCAUGCGACGGAGAUUCGUCGAAGUCUUGAUGGCGACCGGCGCAAGGGUGCGUAACGCGUGAGCAACUUGCCCGUUUCAGGGGGAUAACCGUUGGAAACGACGACUAAUACCCCAUGGUAUGUUUUUGAGGCAUCUCUAAAACUUUAAAGAAUUUCGGAAACGGAUAGGCUCGCGUGACAUUAGCUAGAUGGCGGGGUAACGGCCCACCAUGGCGACGAUGUCUAGGGGUUCUGAGAGGAAGGUCCCCACACUGGAACUGAGACACGGUCCAG
rnacentral:rRNA from 1 species